rnacentral:rRNA from 1 species
AGAGUUUGAUCCUGGCUCAGGACGAACGCUGGCGGCGUGCCUAACACAUGCAAGUCGAGCGAAGCACCUAUGACAGAUUCCUUUGGGAUGACGACGUAGGUGACUUAGCGGCGGACGGGUGAGUAACGCGUGAGGAACCUACCUUCCACAAGGGGAUAGCCUCGGGAAACUGGGAUUAAUACCCUAUGACACUUAAGGGUCGCAUGACCUUUAGGUUAAAGCGAUUUAGCGGUGGAAGAUGGCCUCGCGUCCCAUUAGCUAGUUGGUGAGGUAACGGCUCACCAAGGCGACGAUGGGUAGCCGGCCUGAGAGGGUGACCGGCCACACUGGGACUGAGACACGGCCCAGACUCCUACGGGAGGCAGCAGUGGGGAAUAUUGCACAAUGGGCGGAAGCCUGAUGCACCGACGCCGCGUGAGCGAUGAAGGCCUUCGGGUCGUAUAGCUCUGUCCUAUGGGACGAUAAUGACGGUACCAUAGGAGGAAGCCCCGGCUAACUACCUGCCAGCAGCCGCGGUAAUACGUAGGGGGCGAGCGUUGUCCGGAAUUACUGGGCGUAAAGGGUACGUAUGCGGCUAGGUAAGUCAGGUGUGAAAUCCAUGGGCUCAACCCAUGUAAGCACUUGAAACUGCUUAGCUUGAGUUAAGGAGAGGAAAGCGGAAUUCCUGGUGUAGCGGUGAAAUGCGUAGAUAUCAGGAGGAACACCAGUGGCGAAGGCGGCUUUCUGGCCUUGGACUGACGCUGAGGUACGAAAGCGUGGGGAGCAAACAGGAUUAGAUACCCUGGUAGUCCACGCCCUAAACGAUGUCAACUAGCUGUUGGGGUCAAUAGGCCUUAGUAGCGCAGCUAACGCGUGAAGUUGACCGCCUGGGGACUACGGCCGCAAGGCUAAAACUCAAAGGAAUUGACGGGGACCCGCACAAGCGGUGGAUGAUGUGGAUUAAUUCGAUGCAACGCGAAAAACCUUACCUACCCUUGACAUGUCUGGAAGCUCCAAGAGAUUGGAGUGUGCUCGCAAGAGAACCAGAACACAGGUGCUGCAUGGCUGUCGUCAGUUCGUGUCGUGAGAUGUUGGGUUAAGUCCCGCAACGAGCGCAACCCUCGUCACUAGUUGGUACGCAAGGGCACUCUAGUGAGACUGCCGGUGACAAACCGGAGGAAGGUGGGGAUGACGUCAAGUCCUCAUGGCCCUUAUGGGUAGGGCUUCACACGUCAUACAAUGGUUAGGACAGAGGGUCGCCAACCCGCGAGGGGGAGCUAAUCCCACAAACUUAAUCGUAGUCCGGAUUGCACUCUGCAACUCGAGUGCAUGAAGUUGGAAUCGCUAGUAAUCGCGGAUCAGAAUGCCGCGGUGAAUACGUUCCCGGGUCUUGUACACACCGCCCGUCACACCAUGGAAGUGGGUUUCACCAGAAGUGGGUUGCCUAACCGCAAAGAGGGCGCUCACCACGGUGGGAUUCAUGACUGGGGUGAAGUCGUAACAAGGUA